GACGAACGCUGGCGGCGUGCUUAACACAUGCAAGUCGAACGAAGUGGCGAACGGGUGAGUAACGCGUAAUCAACCUGCCCUUCAGAGGGGGACAACAGUUGGAAACGACUGCUAAUACCGCAUACUGAAGGAGGGGAUUGCGUCUGAUUAGCUAGUUGGAGGGGUAACGGCCCCCCAAGGCGAAGAUCAGUAGCCGGUCUGGGGGGAUGGACGGCCACAUUGGGACUGAGGAACGGCCCAUAAUCCCUCGGGGGGCAGCAGGGGGGAAUCUUCCGCAAUGGACGGAAGUCUGACGGAGCAACGCCGCGGGAGGGAUGACGGCCUUCGGGUUGUAAAGCUCUGUUAAUCGGGACGCGGUACCGGAAUAGAAAGCCACGGCUAACUACGUGCCAGCAGCCGCGGUAAUAC
rnacentral:rRNA from 1 species